rnacentral:rRNA from 1 species
UACGGAGGAUGCGAGCGUUAUCCGGAUUUAUUGGGUUUAAAGGGUGCGUAGGCGGACUGUCAAGUCAGCGGUAAAAUUGAGAGGCUCAACCUCUUCCCGCCGUUGAAACUGGUGGUCUUGAGUGGAUGAGAAGUACGCGGAAUGCGCGGUGUAGCGGUGAAAUGCAUAGGUAUCGCGCAGAACUCCGAUUGCGAAGGCAGCGUACCGGCGCCACACUGACGCUGAGGCACGAAAGCGUGGGGAUCGAACAGG